rnacentral:rRNA from 1 species
AUUGAACGCUGGCGGCAUGCCUUACACAUGCAAGUCGAACGGUAACAGGUCUUCGGAUGCUGACGAGUGGCGAACGGGUGAGUAAUACAUCGGAACGUGCCUAGUAGUGGGGGAUAACUACUCGAAAGAGUGGCUAAUACCGCAUGAGAUCUACGGAUGAAAGCAGGGGAUCGCAAGACCUUGUGCUACUAGAGCGGCCGGUGGCAGAUUAGGUAGUUGGUGGGAUAAAAGCUUACCAAGCCGACGAUCUGUAGCUGGUCUGAGAGGACGAUCAGCCACACUGGGACUGAGACACGGCCCAGACUCCUACGGGAGGCAGCAGUGGGGAAUUUUGGACAAUGGGCGCAAGCCUGAUCCAGCAAUGCCGCGUGCAGGAUGAAGGCCUUCGGGUUGUAACUGCUUUUGUACGGAACGAAAAGCCCUGGGUUAAUACCCUGGGGUCAUGACGGUACCGUAAGAAUAAGCACCGGCUAACUACGUGCCAGCCGCCGCCGUAAUAC